AUAAAUUUAAUCUUUACUUUUAUGUGUUUCAAAUAUUCACAAAAGAUUCAUUUUCUUUAAGAAUAAAUAUCCAACAAUGUCCAAAUACUAGAAGACCAAUAUGGGUCUUACAAAUAUUACUCUCCCUUUUAAAGAAUUUUUCGUUUUAACUUCACUUUUCUUUGUUGCCUUUUAAUAACAUGUUCACAUUUUCCAAAACACAUGAGAGAGUGUUUAAAAUACAUACCUUUUUGACCGGAUCGUCACCCUUGUAAAAUGUUUGAAGCUUCUCCCAUGCUUUCUUUUAUUGUUUUUCUUCCGAAAUUUACCAAAAGUAUUAUCAUCUAAUCUUUGAUAAAUUAUAUAGGCAACUUGUAAGGGCAUAAACUUUAACAAAGAAGAAAAAAAGAAAAAUAAAGCAAAACUUGUUAGACACGUGUGUGGGUAGUGAAGGUGUGCUAGUGAUAUAAUUUGUUUGACAUGUGGUUGACUCUAACGUAACAUCUCAUAUUCUUAGAUAAAUUUAAGAUAAUUAUCUAUAAUAUUUGGACGAUGUAUUUUGCAAUUUUGAAUACUAAAAUUUAAUUAUUUCAAUAAGAUAAUUUAAAGCAUGAUAAAGAUUUAGAUUUUGGAUUUAAAGGGAAAAGUUUUGAGGUAUUUUGAGGUUUGGGAUUUGAUUUGGAUUUAAAUUAAUAGGGCUAUGAUUAGAAAGGAAAAGAUUAUAAUUCUUUUAGAAGUUUUAUAUAUAUGAGUGGAUUUUUUUAAAAAUUGAGGAAAAGUAAAUUAUUAGUGGAAAGAAGCAUUGGGAUGCCUGCGUCAUAAUUUCCUUCUUCUUCGUGUAGUGCCACCGACACUCACUCACUGUCUUUUUCAUAGCCGGAUGCCACUGUUGCCUCCAUCGUCGGACUUGCAGCGAAGGCGCCGACCGUACGUCAGUUCUGUUGAGCCAUCGAGUCGAGGGCAGCUCUUCAGCCAAGCACCCGCGCCAAUCUCGGUCGCAAGCCCUGUCGUGCAACCGUUGCCGCUUACUGGUCACUCACCUCUGUCUGACUAGGUAGCUGUGCCAUUGCCGAUCUCGCCUCCAUCCAACUGCCGUCGUUUCACAUGCCCCACUAGAUCUGUCGUCGUGCUUUUGGAUUUCAUCAGAAUCCUGGAUUUUGGUAAGGAUUGGUUGUUUUGGAUGAGUUUUUAUGGAUUUUCUUGAAGGCCGUGGUUACCUACUGAAGUUUUGUCCUAAGGGGUUGUUUAAUUUCGAUUUAGGAGGUUAGAGUUGAGGUCUGGAGGUGUUUUUCAUCGCUGUCCGUGAUAUCAAGGAGCAAUUUUGGAGGUUUUGGAAAAUAUUCAAGAUUAUAAAGUUUUCAAGGAUAAUUGGAUUGGUUAUUGAUGCUAUGAAUUGUGUUCUAACACCUAAUAUUUGUGUUUAGCUUUUGGGAUGUGGAUUUGGAUCAAGCCAUAAGUUGGAUACGCUAAUUGGAAACAUUAGAGGUAGUUGUGACUUGGAAUUUGGCCCUAAAGGUUUCUUUUAAAUGUUUUGGUUCAUGUCUUAGGUUUUGGUUCAAGGUGGUGAAGUUGGAUUGCUUGCAUAAUAUUCUUUUUGGGACUUAAUUUCAAGGUAAGUAAUCUUACUACUGGUGAUAACACUAAAUAUGUGUUAUCUUCCUCUUCUUAAUUUGAGGCCAUUACUAUGUUUAAUGUGUCUAUUUAGUGUUUUUACAGGUUUUUGGCACCUAGGAGUUAGAAUCAGCCAUUAUUAGUCGUUUCAGGUUAAUUUGGAGAAAUUAGGAGCUAAAUUGAGCAUUUGUGCUUCAAAAGAGAACCUCUUGAAUCUCAAUUCUCAGCUGCAAAACUUCUCCAAAUAUCGUUGUGAACCACCUCAAGAUGUUCCCUAUUAUUCUCUUGGAGCUAAUUUAGAUUGACUUGUGGGACUCAAGAUAAGCUUGAAUGAAUGGAACUUAGAGAAGAGCUCACUGCACCAUCCACUUUGAAGAACACCUUUCUUCAACUCGAAUUUUUCAGCAAAAACUUAAAUGAUGCAUGCCUCAAUUCCACUUCCAUCUUCCAUAUUUAUUGCAAGACAUUCAUGCAAAGAAGAAUGCUACAUGAGGUGCAGCUCAUGCUUACAAGAUUGAAGCUAGAGUCAAGUGGACAUUCAUGCAAAGAAGAAGGCUACAUGAGGUGCAACUCAUGCUUAGAAGAUUGAAACUAGAGUAAGUGGACUUUGAGUGAGCUACAUGAAUGUGAGUGGAGAAAUCCAACUUUUAUGUUCUUUGUGUUUUUCAAUUUUUUAAUUUCAAAUUGAUUUCUAAAAUCAA